GAUGAACGCUGGCGGCGUGCCUAAUACAUGCAAGUCGAGCGAACGUACGAGAACCUUCCUUCUCUGAUCUUUGCGGCGGACGGGUGAAUAACACGUGGAUAACCUACCUAUAACACUGGGAUAACUUCGGGAAACCGGCGCUAAUACCGGAUAAUAUUUUGAACCGCAUGGUUCAAAAGUGAAAGACGGUGUUGCUGUCACUUAUAGAUGGAUCCGCGCUGCAUUAGCUAGUUGGUAAGGUAACGGCUUACGAAGGCAACGAUGCAUAGCCGACCUGAGAGAGUGAUCGCCCACACGGGAACUGAGCCGCGCACCCUACGCCUACGGGAGGCAGCAGUAGCGAACCGUCGGCAACAGGGGAAAGUCUUACGGAGCAACGGAGCGUGAGUGAUGAAGGUCCUCGGAGCGUAAAACCCUGUUAUGAGGGAAGAACAUAUGUGUAAGUAAAUGAGCACAUCUUGACGGUACCUACUCAGAAAGCAACGGCUAACUACGUG
rnacentral:rRNA from 1 species